rnacentral:lncRNA from 1 species
AUAAUGAGUCUAUAUAUGUUUUAGAUAUAUGAUCUGUUAUGUGUAUCAUUCGUUCUCCAACACAUUUCAAAGAAGAAGAAAGGAAUGUGUGAUGGGAUUGUGGUCCAUACAAAAUCUAUGGGAAUCUAAUGAUUGUUAAGAUAAAAAAAAAAAAAAGAUCAUAUAUCUUUCUCCAAACAAAUUCCAUUUGUGUUUCUCCUCUUUCACUUAUUAAUUUUCUCAUGGUGUUUGUUCCUUUGGGUCGUUGACUACAUAAUAUAUACCUAAAU